UAGGGAAUUUUCCACAAUGGGCGAAAGCCUGAUGGAGCAACGCCGCGUGCAGGAUGAAUGCCUUCGGGUUGUAAACUGCUUUUAUAUGUGACGAAUAUGACGGUAGCAUAUGAAUAAGGAUCGGCUAACUCCGUGCCAGCAGCCGCGGUAAUACGUAGGGGGCUAGCGUUAUCCGGAAUUACUGGGCGUAAAGGGUGCGUAGGUGGUUUCUUAAGUCAGAGGUGAAAGGCUACGGCUCAACCGUAGUAAGCCUUUGAAACUGGGAAACUUGAGUGCAGGAGAGGAGAGUGGAAUUCCUAGUGUAGCGGUGAAAUGCGUAGAUAUUAGGAGGAACACCAGUUGCGAAGGCGGCUCUCUGGACUGUAACUGACACUGAGGCACGAAAGCGUGGGGAGCAAACA
rnacentral:rRNA from 1 species